rnacentral:rRNA from 1 species
GCGAACGCUGGCGGCAUGCCUAAUACAUGCAAGUCGAACGAGACCUUCGGGUCUAGUGGCGCACGGGUGCGUAACGCGUGGGAAUCUACCCUUGGGUUCGGAAUAACAGUUGGAAACGACUGCUAAUACCGGAUGAUGACGAAAGUCCAAAGAUUUAUCGCCCAGGGAUGAGCCCGCGUAGGAUUAGCUAGUUGGUGAGGUAAAGGCUCACCAAGGCUACGAUCCUUAGCUGGUCUGAGAGGAUGAUCAGCCACACUGGGACUGAGACACGGCCCAGACUCCUACGGGAGGCAGCAGUAGGGAAUAUUGGACAAUGGGGGCAACCCUGAUCCAGCAAUGCCGCGUGAGUGAUGAAGGCCUUAGGGUUGUAAAGCUCUUUUGCCAGGGAAGAUGAUGACUGUACCUGGAGAAUAAGCCCCGGCUAACUUCGU